rnacentral:rRNA from 1 species
CCUACGGGCGGCAGCAGUGAGGAAUAUUGGUCAAUGGGCGGAAGCCUGAACCAGCCAAGUAGCGUGCGGGAUGAAGGCCCUACGGGUCGUAAACCGCUUUUGCACGAGGAUAACACCCUACACUUGUGGAUGUCUGCAGGUACCGUACGAAUAAGGGCCGGCUAAUUCCGUGCCAGCAGCCGCGGUAAUACGGAAGGCCCGAGCGUUAUCCGGAUUCAUUGGGCUUAAAGGGAGCGUAGGCGGGCGAUCAAGUCAGCUGUAAAAUCGCGCGGCUCAACCGCGCCCCGCAGUUGAAACUGGACGGCUUGAGUGCACAUGAGGCAGGCGGAAUUCGUGGUGUAGCGGUGAAAUGCAUAGAUAUCACGAGGAACCCCGAUUGCGAAGGCAGCCUGCCGGGGUGCGACUGACGCUGAGGCUCGAAGGUGCGGGUAUCAAACAGGAUUAGAUACCCCUGUAGUC